GGCGGGUUGGCAGAUCAUGUGAUCGACUUAGGAUCGGGAGAGGGGGUUUUAGUGCCUCACCCGCUU